rnacentral:rRNA from 1 species
UACGUAGGGGCCUAGCGUUGUCCGGAUUUAUUGGGCGUAAAGAGCUCGUAGGCGGUUCGGCAAGUUGGAUGUGAAAUCUCCACGCUCAACGUGGAGCGGCCAUCCGAAACUGCUGUGACUCGAGUCCGGUAGGGGAGUGUGGAAUUCCCGGUGUAGCGGUGAAAUGCGCAGAUAUCGGGAGGAACACCGAUGGCGAAGGCAGCUCGCUGGGACGGUACUGACGCUGAGGCGCGAAAGCGUGGGGAGCGAACAGG